CCAGAUUUUUUCUUGUGGUUAACUUCUAAUUUCAUAAUGUUGUGAUCAGAAAAGAUGCGUGUUACGACUUGGAUCUUUUUAAAUUUGUUAAGGCUUGUUUUGUGGCGUAAUAUGUGAUCCAUUCUAGAAAAUGUUCCACGUGCACUUGAAAAGAAUGUGUAUUGUGCUGUUUUACAAAGGAAUGUUCUAAAUAUAUCUGUUAAAUCCAUCUGGUCCAGUGUGUCAUUCAAAGCCAUUGUUUCCUGGUUGAUUUUCUGUUUAGAUGACCUGUUCAUUAAUAAAUACAACUUCCUGUAUCUGAAAAGUUUUCUGCAGAAUUUUAAACUUUCGAGAGGCCAAAAGCCUUACUUACUUUCUCAGAGUUGAGGAGGAGAUGUCCAUUUGCUCUCACAGCUGCAGGCCAUUUGUCACUUUACAGGUAAUAUCCCUGAAAACUAUGCACCGGUCUUGGCUUUGUGGUAUGAAACAGAUUCGAAGUGUCUCUUUUUGUGCUGCAGCUCAGACACAUUAAACACUGGUAAAACACUAAAAUGCUGGUAAGACAAAAAGGAAAACAAAGGAAACA